UGGCGGCGUGCUAACACAUGCAAGUCGAGCGGUAACAGGUGUAGCAAUACAUGCUGACGAGCGGCGAACGGGUGAGUAAUGCUUUGGAAUCUUCCCAGUAGUGGGGAAUAACCAGUCGAAAGAUUGGCUAAUACCGCAUACGUCGGAAACGGGAAAGCGGGGGAUCGUAAGACCUCGCGCUAUUGGAUGAGCCAAAGUCGGAUUAGCUAGUUGGUGAGGUAACGGCUCACCAAGGCGACAAUCCGUAGCUGGUCUGAGAGGACGACCAGCCACACCGGAACUGAGACACGGUCCGGACUCCUACGGGAGGCAGCAGUGGGGAAUAUUGGACAAUGGGGGAAACCCUGAUCCAGCGACGCCGCGUGUGUGAAGAAGGCCUGCGGGUUGUAAAGCACUUUUAGUGGGGACAAAAAGUCACGUUCGAAUAAAGCGUGAUCUUGAUUUAACUCACAGAAAAAGCACCGGCUAACUCUGUGCCAGCAGCCGCGGUAAUACAGAGGGUGCGAGCGUUAAUCGGAAUUACUGGGCGUAAAGCGCGCGUAGACGGUUUGGUAAGUCAGAUGUGAAAUCCCCGGGCUCAACCUGGGAACUGCAUUUGAUACUG
rnacentral:rRNA from 1 species